AGCUUAUGAUAUAUGACUGAUCAUAUCCUUACCACCAGAUUUGAUAGACAUUCAACAUGCAAAAUGAAGGCUUAUAAAAGCGAUGUUUCACAGAGCACACAAUACAGUAUACGUGAUUGCAUGCGUAAUAAGUUUAUACUUCAAUUCUUAAUUAUUUUUUUUACUUCUUAGAAUGUAAUGAGGUAUAAUAACAAUUAAAAUCAUGAAUGAAAUUAAUCAUCAAUUCUUUUAAUGCAGAUCACCUGCAUACAUGCCAACUUUCCCGAUUUAGGCGGGAUCUUCCCGAUUUUACCCUCCGGUCCCGCUUUCCCGAUCGGGAAAGCAAAAUUACCCUAAAAUCCCGAUUUGAAAUUUUUUCCAACCAAAAUUUCCGAUUUCACGAUUGAAAGCGGGAUAAUCGUGAAAUCUCGUGACCAGAAUUGGAAAUCCCGCGUCAUUUCUGAACUGGCCAAUCAGAAAUCGGGACAAUAGUCAGCCAUUGCUGUUUACCUGUGUCGCAUGGUGUCGGGUUGGUCUGCCUGUGUCGGGGUGUUUAUUGGCAUGUUUUGGUAGUAAUUAAUUGGGAAGACGGAUUUCAAAUUGACCUAUCCUUUACACAAACGUGAAUGACAACGAUGCUAGUGUCACCACCAAACAAUCGGACAUUCCGCCUCUCGCUGACAGCAUCCAAAAUUUGCAAUAAGAUGUCAUGGGUGCAAAGGUUUUGUUCGCAAACUUCAUAGCAGGGCAGAUCACUCCUUUUUUGGUUACAAUGCAGAUUAUUCCACCAGUCUCUGCAAGCCCAUGUUUACAGACAAGCAAGAUCGCCUUUGCAGUCGUACCUAAAUGCAUGUGCUUUAAUUUAAAUUUUGAUAUAUAGACCGGCCAAUGUUUAUUGUAUGGUGUAAAAGGAUGCAACCUUAAAUAUUAUUUUAUAUUAUGUAUGUGACUUGUUGGAGAAGAUUUUUUGCUGAAUAGAUGAUUUUAAUAAAAUAUUAAUGUAUAUC